rnacentral:lncRNA from 1 species
UACUAAAUAAUAUUAUUAAUAUUAUUGAAUUUAUAAAAUUUAAAAUUUAUUAAUUACUAUUAAUUAUUUUUUAUUCUUUUAAGUAGGUUUUAUAUAAUUAAUUAAUAUGUUCGCUACCUGUCCUUGUGCAGUAUACAAAUUACAAAUCUAAACAGUUCACCUUUCAUGUGAUUUUCGUAAAAUGUAUUCGACAAAGAAUUGAAACUAUUGCAUAAACCAAGUUAAACUUAUGCUAGGUAAUCUACAAGCUACAACAAUCACAUUCAAACAAUCAAACCAUCAUAACUCAAAUCGUGAAAGUUCUGUAUAGUGUUAAAAGCCCUAUAAUGUAUUUAGUGGAAGCGUGAAUAGCUGCAUAUGAGGUUAGGUUAGGUGAGGUCUCCACUCUCAAACACAUAAUAUUGACAAUAAUGAAACAUCUAAUGAAGAAGCAAGUCCAUUGAUGAAAGACUAUAUUACUAUUUAAAACUAUCAAACAUUCAAAUCUUCAUAAGUCAUAGCACAGAUCAAUUCUAGUGAACAAGGAACAAUAGUGAGUGAUGUAGGAAUGUACCUGAGCCUCAAGGAGAUAAUCAAGAUUUUCAAGGAAGAAAUCGGAGUCCAAGAUCGUUCAACAAGUUACACGUGCAAUAUACAAGCAAUAUAUACCGGACGCGUAUCGGAUUCAGACUUCAAUAUGAAUUGUCAACAAAUAAGAGCUUAGUUUUGGAUAAACUAAGUAAAGAAUAUGUUACAUUAACUAACAUUGAUAACUCAACUUUGAUUCAACUCAUACAUCUUCUAUGGACCAUCACAAGUUUUUUUUUUCACCCUUUUAACCUUAUGGGUAAUUUCUGUAUAUUUAAUAGUUAUUAAUGUCUUAUAUACUUAAGUACAGAUACAGAUAUGAUUCAUAUUCUAAAUUUUAAAUACAAUUUAUUUAAAAGAUAUAAUUUAAAUACAUAUUUUUUUUUUUUUUGAAACACUACUUACACGUUCAUUUUUGUAUGGUUAAAAUUACUAGUUAAUUUAAUUUAUUUUUGUUUAAUCACAAUGUAGAAUACAAUGAUUUAAAAAAAACUAAACAAAUAAAAAUAAUUUUUUAAUUAAAUUAGUAAACAUGUACAUUAUACAUACUUAAAUUAAUUUAUGGACUUAUGCAAAGUCAAGACGUAUUUAACGUCUUAAACUAUACCUUAUAUGAUACAUAAAUUGACUUAAUGCAUAUGUACAUAAGACAUACAAGUGUUAAGAAUAAUUAUUACAAAAAUAGUUAGUCAUUUAAAUAAUUUGGAAUUGUCCAAACUAAUUGGUAACCUGGCUGAUAAUUUAAAAAAAAAAUGGAUGAACUUGUUUUUAACUUAGUUAAAUUUGUGAUUUUUUUAAAAUUAACUUUAAAUUGCCAAUGAGCAACUUCACUCAAAGGCAAUCUGUUACAUAGCGUCAUAGCUAUACACAAUCUAAAACGUUAUGUAUGUUACUUUAUCUACUGCAAUAAAGAAUCUUACCACCGAAUAAUAAACAAUAUAUUGAGUCUAUUCCAUCUCUAUUAAUAUUACCGAAAGGAAACUCUUCAGAUAAUAAUAUUAAGUUGUUGUAUAUCAUAUUUUUAUUAUUAAAUUUGUUACUUUUUAUUUAAAUAAAAGUUAUGGUUAUUUA